UACGUAGGUGGCAAGCGUUGUCCGGAUUUAUUGGGUUUAAAGGGUGCGUAGGCGGUUCUAUAAGUCAGUGGUGAAAUCCGACAGCUCAACUGUCGAUGUGCCAUUGAUACUGCAGAACUUGAGUACAGACGAGGUAGGCGGAAUUGACGGUGUAGCGGUGAAAUGCUUAGAUAUCGUCAAGAACACCGAUAGCGAAGGCAGCUUACUAGACUGUAACUGACGCUGAUGCACGAAAGUGUGGGGAUCAAACAGG
rnacentral:rRNA from 1 species